GAGAUGUUGGUAAAACAAUCACAUUACCUUGUCAAGGUAAAAUUACUGGUUAAACCCCGGUACAUCUCA
rnacentral:tRNA from 1 species